UACGUAGGGCGCAAGCGUUAUCCGGAAUUAUUGGGCGUAAAGAGCUCGUAGGCGGUUUGUCGCGUCUGCUGUGAAAGACCGGGGCUCAACUCCGGUUCUGCAGUGGGUACGGGCAGACUAGAGUGAUGUAGGGGAGACUGGAAUUCCUGGUGUAGCGGUGAAAUGCGCAGAUAUCAGGAGGAACACCGAUGGCGAAGGCAGGUCUCUGGGCAUUAACUGACGCUGAGGAGCGAAAGCAUGGGGAGCAAACAGG
rnacentral:rRNA from 1 species